rnacentral:rRNA from 1 species
GCACAAGCGGUGGAGCAUGUGGUUUAAUUCGACGCAACGCGAAGAACCUUACCUGGGCUUGAACUGCAGUGGACCGGUGCAGAGAUGUGCCUUUUCGCAAGAACUGCUGCAGAGGUGCUGCAUGGCUGUCGUCAGCUCGUGUCGUGAGAUGUUGGGUUAAGUCCCGCAACGAGCGCAACCCUUACCCGUAGUUGCCAGCGCGUCAUGGCGGGAACUCUACGGGGACUGCCCGGGUUAACCGGGAGGAAGGUGGGGAUGAUGUCAAGUCCUCAUGGCCCUUAUGUCCAGGGCUACACACGUGCUACAAUGGGCGAUACAAACCGUUGCAAAGUCGCGAGAUGGAGCUAAUCGGAGAAAGUCGUCCUCAGUUCGGAUUGUAGUCUGCAACCCGACUACAUGAAGGUGGAAUCGCUAGUAAUCGUGUAUCAGAAUGAUACGGUGAAUACGUUCCCGGGC